GUAUAGCCUACUCCGCAGGCAACUCUUUGGCAAGAAUUGGCAAAAGUAGUAUGAAUAAAAAAUUGGCAAAAAUGUGAAUAUUAUAGGGUUACACUCUGUGAUCCCUAACAAUCCCUAACUUUAAAUUCGCUGUUAUUCAUAAUAUUUUUGCCAAAGAGUUGCCUGCGGAGGAGGCUAGAU
rnacentral:miRNA from 1 species